UUAAUUUGAUGCCUGGCAGUUUAUGGCGGGCGUCCUGCCCGCCACCCUCCGGGCCGUUGCUUCGCAACGUUCAAAUCCGCUCCCGGCGGAUUUGUCCUACUCAGGAGAGCGUUCACCGACAAACAACAGAUAAAACGAAAGGCCCAGUCUUUCGACUGAGCCUUUCGUUUUAUUUGAUGCCUGGCAGUUCCCUACUCUCGCAUGGGGAGACCCCACACUACCAUCGGCG
rnacentral:rRNA from 1 species